CCUCUGCAUGCAGGCGCCGGCGUUUCCUGAGCAGCAGUGACGAAGGUCCUGCCAUCAUCGUCCAGAGGAGCCCACAGUGGCCCUGAAACACACGUGUGUGGUGGGACCCAGCCCUGGCACCGUGUCUGUGCUGCUGGCUCACUCGUGCUGGAGUGUUGAGAAAACAGGCAGCCGUUUCCUUGUCACGGGAGUCGGUCCUUUGGGUCCCCUGAAGGAAUCUUUCUUCUCCUGCCUUGACUCAAGAGUGGGGUCUGUGCGCCAGUGUCUCCAUGCAUUCUCCCGUGACUGCAGGCUCACUCAUGCUGGAGUGUUGAGAAAAGAGGCAGCUGUUUCCUUGUCACGGAGCCCGGGCCUUUUGGGUCCCCUGAAGGAAUCUCUCCUCCUGCCUUGACUCAAGAGGAUUCAGCGUUUGCUGAGCAGCAGUGAUGAAGGUCGUGCCGUCAUUGUCCAGAGAAGCCCACAGCGG